rnacentral:rRNA from 6 species
UGAUUCAUGACUGGGGUGAAGUCGUAACAAGGUAGCCCUAGGGGAACCUGGGGCUGGAUCACCUCCUUAUACGA